rnacentral:tRNA from 1 species
GGCCGGUUAGCUCAGUGGGUUGAGCGCGAUGCUGACAACAAUGACAACACCGAGAUCGUGGGUUCGAUUCCCACUCAGUCCC